rnacentral:rRNA from 1 species
AACGAACGCUGGCGGCAGGCUUAACACAUGCCAGUCGAACGCCCCGCAAGGGGAGUGGCAGACGGGUGAGUAACGCGUGGGAACAUACCCUUUUCUACGGAAUAGCUCUGGGAAACUGGAAUUAAUACCGUAUACGCCCUACGGGGAAAAGAUUUAUCGGGGAAGGAUUGGCCCGCGUUGGAUUAGCUAGUUGGUGGGGUAAAGGCCUUCCAAGGCGACGAUCCAUAGCUGGUCUGAGAGGAUGAUCAGCCACAUUGGGACUGAGACACGGCCCAAACUCCUACGGGAGGCAGCAGUGGGGAAUAUUGGACAAUGGGCGCAAGCCUGAUCCAGCCAUGCCGCGUGAGUGAUGAAGGCCUUAGGGUUGUAAAGCUCUUUCACCGAUGAAGAUAAUGACGGUAGUCGGAGAAGAAGCCCCGGCUAACUUCGUG